rnacentral:rRNA from 1 species
GGUCAAGCUACUAAGAGCGUAGGGUGGAUGCCUUGGCACUAAGAGCCGAUGAAAGACGUGAUAAGCUGCGAAAAGCUUCGGGGAGGAGCAAAUAUCCAUUGAUCCGGAGAUCUCUGAAUGGGGAAACCUAACUGAGCAAACCUCAGUUACUAUAUAAUGAAUACAUAGUUGUAUAGAGGGAACUCGGGGAACUGAAACAUCUAAGUACCCGAAGGAAAAGAAAGAAAUUAAUCGAUUUCCUAAGUAGUGGCGAGCGAAAGGGAAAGAGCCUAAACCAGAAGACCUAGUCUUCUGGGGUUCGGACUGCAUUUAGCAUUGAAUAAGGUUAGACGAAUGGUUUUGGGAAAGCCAACUAAAGAGGGUGAAAGUCCCGUAGUCGAAAACUGAGUUCAGCGAGCAGUAUCCAGAGUAGUGCGGGGCACGAGAAACCCUGUAUGAAUAUAGGGGGACCACCCCGUAAGGCUAAAUACUACUUAGUGACCGAUAGCGCAUAGUACUGUGAAGGAAAGGUGAAAAGGACCCCGGGAGGGGAGUGAAAGAGAACCUGAAACCCUGUGUUUACAAGCUGUGGAAGUGCUUUAUACGAGCACAACCGCGUACUUUUUGUAGAACGGUCCGGCGAGUUACGUAUAAUGGCAAGGUUAAGGACUAAAGGUCUGGAGCCGAAGGGAAACCGAGUCUUAAUAGGGCGAAGAGUCGUUGUGCGUAGACCCGAAACCGGGUGACCUACCCAUGUCCAGGUUGAAGUUGCCGUAAAAGGCAAUGGAGGACCGAACCCACAUCCGUUGAAAAGGGUGGGGAUGAGGUGUGGAUAGGGGAGAAAUUCCAAUCGAACCCGGAGAUAGCUGGUUCUCCUCGAAAUAGCUUUAGGGCUAGCCUCAACGCGAGUCUACUGGAGGUAGAGCACUGAAUUGCCUAGGGGGCCUCAAAGCCUACCGAAGCAUAUCAAACUCCGAAUGCCAAUAAGAUACCGUUGGGAGUCAGACUAUAUGAGAUAAGUUGGGUGGUCAAAAGGGAAAGAGCCCAGACCUGCAGCUAAGGUCCCAAAGUGCGUGUUAAGUGGAAAAGGAUGUGGGAUUUCGAAGACAACUAGGAUGUUGGCUCAGAAGCAGCCAUACAUUCAAAGAGUGCGUAAUAGCUCACUAGUCGAGAGGUCCUGCGCCGAAAAUGUCCGGGGCUGAAACAUGUCACCGAAGCUGCGGAAUGCAUACAUGGGUAUGCAUUGGUAGAGGAGCAUUCUUAAAGGGACGAAGCUGUACCGGAAGGAGCAGUGGACUGUUAAGAAGAGAGAAUGCCGGAAUGAGUAGCGAGAGGAAGGUGAGAAUCCUUCCGGCCGAAUAUCUAAGGUUUCCAGAGUAAAGCUGAUCUGCUCUGGGUAAGUCGGGGCCUAAGGCGAGGUCGAGAGUCGUAGUCGAUGGACAACUGGUUGAGAUUCCAGUACUACAUACAAACAGAACUGUGGGGACGCAGACGAAAGCAGAGCGGGAAUGGAAGACCGGUAAGCCAAAGGAUAGACUGGUUGGCAAAUCCGCAUGGAAUCGAAGACGUGAUGGGACCGAAAUAAAGUAGGGAAGCUCCUGAAUCUAAGCUGCCAAGAAAAGCCGCUAUUGUUUGUUAUGUACCCGUACCGUAAACCGACACAGGUGGAUGAGGAGAGAAUCCUAAGGCCGACGGGAGAAGCAUUGUUAAGGAACUCGGCAAAAUGACCCCGUAACUUCGGGAGAAGGGGUGCCUGCGAGAGUUGGCCGCAGAGAAUAGGCUCAAGCAACUGUUUAGCAAAAACACAGGUCUAUGCAAAACCGAAAGGUGAAGUAUAUGGGCUGACGCCUGCCCGGUGCUGGAAGGUUAAGAGGAGAGGUUAGCGCAAGCGAAGCUUUGAAUUUAAGCCCCAGUAAACGGCGGCCGUAACUAUAACGGUCCUAAGGUAGCGAAAUUCCUUGUCGGGUAAGUUCCGACCCGCACGAAAGGCGUAAUGAUUUGGGCACUGUCUCGACAAUGCACCCGGUGAAAUUGAAGUACCAGUGAAGAUGCUGGUUACCCGCGCCAGGACGGAAAGACCCCAUGGAGCUUUACUCCAGCUUGAUACUGGGAUUCGGUAUUGCAUGUACAGGAUAGGUGGGAGACUAAGAAGCAUGGACGCCAGUUGCCAUGGAGUCACCGUUGGGAUACCACCCUUGCAGUACUGGGUUUCUAACCAGCAGCCGUGAUCCGGCUGGGGGACAAUGUCAGGUGGGGAGUUUGACUGGGGCGGUCGCCUCCGAAAGGGUAUCGGAGGCGCUCAAAGGUUCCCUCAGAAUGGACGGAAACCAUUCGAAGAGUGCAAAGGCAGAAGGGAGCUUGACUGCGACACCGACGGGUGGAGCAGGUACGAAAGUAGGACUUAGUGAUCCGGUGGUAUAAAGUGGGAUUGCCAUCGCUCAACGGAUAAAAGCUACCCUGGGGAUAACAGGCUUAUCACUCCCAAGAGUUCACAUCGACGGAGUGGUUUGGCACCUCGAUGUCGGCUCAUCGCAUCCUGGGGCUGUAGUAGGUCCCAAGGGUUGGGCUGUUCGCCCAUUAAAGCGGUACGCGAGCUGGGUUCAGAACGUCGUGAGACAGUUCGGUCCCUAUCCGGCGUGGGCGUAGGAUAUUUGAGAGGAGCUGUCCUUAGUACGAGAGGACCGGGAUGGACGGACCGCUGGUGUAUCUGUUGUCUUACCAAAGGCAUAGCAGAGUAGCCAAGUUUGGAAGGGAUAAACGCUGAAGGCAUCUAAGCGUGAAGCCCCCCACAAGAUAAGAUAUCCCAUCCGUAAGGAGGAAGACCCCUUGUAGGCGACAAGGUAGAUAGGUUGGAGGUGUAAGCACGGCAACGUGUUCAGCUGACCAAUACUAAUGGUCGAGGGUUUGACCUA